AGUGAACGCUGGCAGUAGGCCUAACACAUGCAAGUCGAACGGCAGCACAGUAAGAGCUUGCUCUUACGGGUGGCGAGUGGCGGACGGGUGAGGAAUACAUCGGAAUCUACUUUUUCGUGGGGGAUAACGUAGGGACACUUACGCUAAUACCGCAUACGACCUACGGGUGAAAGCAGGGGAUCUUCGGACCUUGCGCGAUUGAAUGAGCCGAUGUCGGAUUAGCUAGUUGGCGGGGUAAAGGCCCACCAAGGCGACGAUCCGUAGCUGGUCUGAGAGGAUGAUCAGCCACACUGGAACUGAGACACGGUCCAGACUCCUACGGGAGGCAGCAGUGGGGAAUAUUGGACAAUGGGCGCAAGCCUGAUCCAGCCAUACCGCGUGGGUGAAGAAGGCCUUCGGGUUGUAAAGCCCUUUUGUUGGGAAAGAAAAGCAGCAGGUUAAUACCCCGCUGUUCUGACGGUACCCAAAGAAUAAGCACCGGCUAACUUCGUG
rnacentral:rRNA from 1 species